ACUCCGGGUGGAGCUGUUACAGGAAACGAUGCAAGUGUGAUUUAGCCGCGUGGAACCUCUGCCAAGCGUUUUUCUCGUAUUCGGGUGUUCAGUAAACCCGUUUCUUCCUAAUGGAAAGGGGAGCCGUAUUCAUAAAUGUAAUUAUUACUGUUGUGUGAUUUACAGCGGCGGUGACAGGAAACCCGAGCGUGGUCAGUACUUCUCUAAGACUACCCGUCGUGUAUUUCAGUAAGAAUGUGAUGUGGAUAGAAAUUACAUGGUGGAAUAGAGCUUUUUAGUAAGUGAGCUGGUGGCAGUACUGUUCUUUUAUCUCUGGGGAACCACUUGGCAGAGACUUGAAAAAUGGAACAGACACGGGCAGGAUUAUGGUUUUUAGUUUUUCCACUCUUUGAAAUGUCCCCAUCGUGGCUGACAAAAUUGAGUGGUUUAAAGGGAGGCAGGGGAAGAGAGUCUAUUUUGAAAAUCGCCUUAAGGAGCAUAAAAAUACAAGGUUGCAUGCGACCACAGCUCAAAUGUUCUGCUUCAGUGUUUGGAACAAGCUCCAUAAAUGUUUGAGAUAAAGUCUAGUCUCUACACUGAUUACAUUUUCCAUUUUUUUGGUGGUUGCUUUCCAAGAAUUAAGACCACAGUCAGUUAAGACAUUAGAAAAUACAUUGCUGUGUUCAGCUUGCUUGCUGUAAUACAAACACCUGCCAGAGAAUAAACCAGUGAAAUUCUUGAAUGCCAGCCAGGCUUUUCAAGUCAAGCAGUUUAGAGGGCCAAGCACAUCCCUUUCCUAAAAAAAAAAUAAGUAAGGGUUCCUUAAAGAUCUUCAGAUACCUUAAAACAGGUUCCAGUUGUAGAAGAUAGUUCAUGACCUAAUCAAGUCUCCAGGAUAUUCCCAUGCGUGUACAUAAAUCAUGUUUCUGCGCAGAUGUUUUAAUGUCUAAUUUUGAUGUUGGUUUUAUCUCUUUUUGGAUGCUGUUUUGAUUCCAUGGAGAUAAAAAUGAUUAAAUAAACCAAAAGAUUAAAAAUUCAGAAGAGUGAAUUUGUAAUCUGUAAACAAAGUAUGUAAAGCUGAAAUUGAGUAUUACCAGUCUCUCUCUCUAGUGAAACCUUCAUCUCAAAAUCCAGAUUUACAUUCAGAUUCUUUUAAAACUGUCUUACUUACGUUAAGGGGGUCUUUAUCCCAGUAAGGGGUUUAUGCCCUUCAGCCAUAAGGAGGAAGAUUUCACCCCUUCACAUGUAAGUUUGACGAGUUUGUUAUCACCCAGAACAGAUGAGAGCCUUGGGCCUGAUCUCUGCAGGUGCCCCACCAGACAGCACACUGUACCAGAGCCUGAAUUCAACAAUCCCGUUCAAGUACAUAGCAGCUGAUUCACCCACCAAGUUUAAAAAAAAAUUGAAGUUCUGUUUUUCCACAUUCCGUCUACAAGGCCAAAGCCUGUUGUGCUUUUUGAGUCUAUGGAAUGCAAGACAGUAUGUCAUUUUUGACAGGAUUAAUACAGCCUCUUCAAUUAUAAAUGAGGAAAUGAUGUAUUUCAUAAUGUGGUCAAAUCUGUUCAAGAGUCUUAUACUGUAAAAAUACAUUAUCACUCUUUGCUCAGCAUCCCCACAGUUCUUUAGUUUCCCUACAUUCUCUAGCACUCGUUAAUGUUGUCUAUAAAAAACUAAACCACCAGCAUUUGUUGCAAUAAAGUAUUUUCAUUAACAUGUGGUUUCAAAAAUACUUCACAUACACAUUCUCACGUUUAUAUCCAGAAAGUUCUAUAUGGUGAAAAAAGUACACUGUAGUCCUUGAAACUAGACUCCUGUACACUUCAAAAUCACCAACACUUCAAAGCAGGACAAAAGAACGUGUUAAGCAAUAAGGAAAUUGAGACAGUCACAGAACCUUACUUCAAACGGCAAAUGUUACAGUACCCAAUGUCAAUCUUCAGUUUUAGCGUGCAAUCUGGCAUCAAGUGAAGUCCUGAUGUAAAGAGAAAUAUAAAUACCAGUACUGGAUCAUUCAAAUCACUUCAAAGUAGCAAUCACUUUGAAAAAUUCUUUGUUCUUGUUAGUGAGUAGGGAAUAGAUCUUUUCUAUACGUAUUGAAGGUGCAGUUAUUAGAUACAUACACCUUUUGCUCUGGAAUUAAAUAAAGAUACAAAACCUGACCCUGCUGUCUGCUGCUUUUGUUUUUCCUCCCCUUUAUUUACUCUUUUCCUUAAAAAAAAAACCUGAAGUUGCCACAUGAAAUGUGCAAUGUAAGGUUUUUCCCUGUUUUCCCUAAAAAGUCUUUGUUGCAUGGACACAUUUUAGUCUCAAACCACUUUUAGAAGUGAUUUGAGACUGAAAUGUGAGAUCCAGACAGACGUGUAGGUCAGCAGGAGACAUUACAAAUCUGUAAGCUGAAUUCAGAUUCAAAUUCCAUACACUCCUUUCAUAAUUGCUGCAGAAAAUCCGCCAAACUCUAGAAAACCAUGAACUACCGAUGCCUGGUGUUUAGAUUUGGACAUUCCUGGAUUUGUUUCUUUCUUCCAUAUAAGCAUAAAACCAUGAACAGACUAAAUAGGAUACAUACUCAACCAUCAGACAUGGCAUCAGAAAUCUUGUUGCACUGAUUGUGCCGGUUGGAAUGAUAAGUUCUGUUAUAAUUCUGAGACAGCAACCCACAUUAAAUACUAUUUUUUAAUAUAUAUUUAUAUUUGUGUAACAAAACAGUAUUUUAUUAUGCAAACUACAUUUUUAUACUAGAAGUCUCUCACCUGCUGUAUUAAAUGCUACUGGAAAUAACAAGGCAACAAUUUUCUGGCACUAACUUCAGUGGCUUCAUGGCUGAGGCCAUGAAGUUCAGGUUACUUUUACAAGUUUCACAGUUUUAGGGACUACUUUCCAUAAUCUCAUAAACUACAUUUAAAUAGCUGCAAAUGGCUGUUGGCUUGGAGCAUUACCUCUGAAACUACAGCUGUUUCUUAAUUACUCCCAGCUGAUGUCCUUUGCUGGUCUUUUGACCUAAUGCGGCAUGUAAGUUUCUGGGAGAAGGGUCAGUUUUCCUGAGGCUUUUCAUUCAAACGAAGCUUCCAACAGUGCGUGGAAGGCUGAAGGCUGGUUGUAUCUUGCUAGAGGUAUCACUGUAGGUAUGUUUUUGGUAGUAAAAUGAUGUAUAAAUUUCUGAUUCUACUCCAGCUCAUUAAUUCAACCUAAGGCAUAUACUUUGAAUAAUAGAAACAUAUUCUAUAAAAGUCAGUAUGUGCUUUUUAUGGAUAAUAUUGUCUGGAGGGAGAUCACAUUAAAAUCUACUGUUACUCUACAGUCUUCAUCAUUUGUUAGGUACACAAGCCAAAACUACGUUUUCCUAUAACUUCUCACAGAGCUACAGAAAAAGUGAAAGUCACACAUAUCCUAUCAUACAGUUCUAUAUCUCACUAUGCUAGGAGUAAUUCACAGAUAUGUCCUGUUACAUUUCUAUAGGCAUAGAGAAAUUUCAGAACAGUUACAAAGCACAUGUAAGAUGACUUUAGGCUUACCUCUCAAAAUGAACCAAAUUAAUGAGUCCAUUGAGGGGAAAUUGAAGUACUUAACAGACUGCCCUGGUGAGCUAGAGGAUUACACCAGACAUUGAAAUCUGGACUUAAGUGCUGAGUGUUUAAAGCACGGGCCCUACAUACUGCUCAAAGAUCUUUUGAUGUGUUACAUAUACAAACACGAGGUAGGCUUUGUUCAAUAAUUAAGAAUACUAUUAAAAAAAAAUUAGGCAAAGCAAACAGCAGUGAACCACUGUGAUCUUACUGUUAAACAGAAAUAUAAGCAAACACAGAGAUACAGUUCUUGUUCUAUACCAAAUGAACUUUCUGAAGCUGAGUCUGCUGCAAUUCACUUCUACAUGUGAACACAGGCUAAAUUCCAAUUUA